UGCCUAAUCAGGCUUUGUCCUGAUGAGCCCCAACGCCCACUCGACACGCGCGUUCGCCCUGGCUCUUACCGUAGUUUCUCAAACUGAAAUGCGUGUAUAAUGCUGACUAGCCCCUCGCUCUAGAGAACACCAGGCGCCUCUAAUCCCUGCAAAAGCUGUAGGGAGUUCCAGGUUGUCCCGGUCCAUCGAGGAUGCAAGGCAGUUGUGUGCAGAGAAGGUGAAGGAGGGAGGAUAGGAACCGAUGGAGUCGGAGGGAAAGCGUUAGGGCUUGGGCAGAGGGAAGAAAUGAGAAAGGGCAGGCCCCGACUGAGGAAAAGAGAGUUACCAAAACAGGCGGUACCUAGUUCCAGUUCUUGGUCCCUGGGGUCUGUGGUUGCUGCUUUCAUCUUGCUCAGCCAAAACAAAAGCAAGUGUCAACGGCGAUUGGUGAGGACCUUCAGAGCACCCCCCACCUAGAUUUGGCUCAUAAUAGGUCUUCUCCCCUCUCCAGCCCUUCACACUUGAAGCUCUCAGAUGAGUAGAAAGGAGCACAAUUAGUGGAAAACAUCAGCCUAGGAGUCAAGGGAUUUGGGCUCUAUGGUCGUCCCUUGGUGACGACAUUGUUACCUUGGGUUGUUCACGCUUUCAGUGCCAGAGUUCCUAGAUCAAUAAAACAUUAUUAUAUUGGCCUCUUUUAAAAAAAUGUUUUCACAGUACUCAAUUCUGAAUAAAGUAUGUGUAGCAAUGUGUUCUGUGCGUUGCACAGUAACAACUGUGACUAACGCUGCAGUGAUCAUAGUUUAACAUGUUAUUUAGUGAUUGUCUUCAUUGUGGUCUUUUCAAAGACUCCCACUCAUUGCGCCUUUACAAACAAGGUUGUAGGUACACUCAAGAACAUUUUUAAGUCGAUGUCCUUUUGGUUUUGUCCUUGUUAAAAUGUAAAUUUCUGUACUACUGGGUGUUUUUCACAAUUUUUCAGUUGCUAGGAUUAUGGCAGGGGGUAGGUACUGAAGCUUAACCUUUCUCUGAUAAAUCUCUAAAUAUAGUGCUGACACGCUGGGGUAUUUAACAACUGUCUGAUAAAAAAGAAACUGGGACAAAUGGCUAACUGUGGUAUCUAUUAGCAUGCCAUCGAAUGGUGCUAGCCUCCAGGAGGCUUUCUCAAUAUCACAAUAUCACAAAUACCUGUGGUUCUUUUCAGCCCCGUGGACCCCACUGUCUCCCCUAAACUUCAGCUUGUGGGCUUCCCUCCCCCUAGCUUCUCUCCCCUCCCCUCCCCUCUCUCAUUCUCAUUUUCCUCUCUUGCCCCUAUUUCCUCUCAUGGCUAGGUCCAAACCUCUGGCCAUGUUUGGUCUACCACUUUCCCUGCUCAGGACUCUUCCAGAUGCUGUCCUCUCCCUCAUAUCUACAGUAAAAACCUUCCUCUCGACCACACCUCAGAGAGGUCAUGCCUUCAGUUUAUACAUCUGGUGCUGAAAACCUCACUUUAUACAACAACUUAGACUGCCAAGGAGGUAGUUUUUACCCAGGAAGUGCUUUUUAUCCAUCACCUCCAUCAAACGUAAGAUUGAUUAAAAACUAUAGGUUAAUAAUAAUGACUUAAUACUAGAGAAGUAGGAUUUAAAAGAACUUUAGAUUGUACCUAUAGACUGUUACAUUUUGCAGGAUUUUAUGAUAUACUGUUAGGAAGUCCUCUGGAGUAUCCUGCCAUGGUGGAGCAUGCUUAUAAAGCCCUUGGAAGACUGAGGCAGGAGGAUUGCAAGGUCAAAGGCAGCCCGAGUGGCAAGUAACAACACUUGCCGAGGGCUUGCUUUAGUAAAACCCGGAAUGUUUAUCCAAUGUGGCCUUGCCAUGGACGCCCUCCUUCUUCUGUGUCUGCUUUCUUCUCCCAUCUAUUAGAGUUGCCAUGUUCUAUCAGGGCAGGAGCGGUGUGACAAGACGGUCUCCUAAGUUCCUGUUAGAUUAUAUACAGCCGACACGGUGCUUUCACUUUUCAUUUUCUAUUAGCUGUAAAGCUAAUGAGUGUUUUUGUGGCAUUUCCCUCUCUGUAUGAUGUACUCUGACGGUACUACCCUUUCUAGUAUGCACUUCCAGUUUCCCUCCACCUCCCUAAUAGUUUCCCUCACUACCAUGUCCCCUACAUCCCACGGAUAAGAGGGACUUUGGGAUGCUUAGCUUUGUAAUACCGGUUUUGUCCAUUUCCCUGUAAGUUCCAUAACUUUGUCCUUAUGAUUGAAUAGUGUUCUAUGUGUGAAAGGAACAUUUUUUUAAUCACCCAUCUGUUACUGGAUACCUUGGCUGUGUUGGCUAGUGAGUAUUGUCACAGUAAAAUGAAUGUGCAGAUAUCUGUAUAGUAAGUUAACUGAUUCAUCUAGCCAUAGUCCCAGAAGUGGCAUAACUGGGUCAUGUGGGAAUUCCAUUUUUAAAGGAACCUCCACACUGUUUUCCAUUCCAAGCCGUGGUAUAUAAGUUUUCCUCCCCUUCCCAAUCCUCACCAACAUUUGUUGCUUCUUGAUUUCUUUGUUACACAUUCUUACUGGGGAAAUUUUUGCUUCCCUAAUGGCUAGAGAUGUUGGACAUGUUUCAUGUAAUUUUUUUUUUUCGGAGCUGGGGACCGAACCCAGGGCCUUGUGCUUGCUAGGCAAACGCUCUACCACUGAGCUAAAUCCCCAACCCCUCAUGUAAUUUUUGAAUAGUUUUUGAACAUUUUAUUUAUGUAUACAAGUUUACUGCCUGUGUGUUAUUCACCAUAUGCAGGCACUGCUCAUGGAAGCCAGAAGGGGGCAUCAGAUCUUGAGGCUGAUGGUCUCAACAGAGGGUUGUGAGCCACUCUAUGGAUACUGGUAACUGAACUCAGGUCCUCUGCAAGAGCAGAUAAUUAAUUGCUCUUAACUGAUGAACAAUCUCUUCAGCCCCUCAAAUGUUUAUUGUCUGUUUGAAAGGUCUCUAUUUACUUAAUUUGCCCGUGUAUCAUCUGUUGUUUUAAUGUUUAUUUGUUUCACUUUAUGUAUUUUGGAUAACAGUCCCCUUGUCAGAUUAAUUACUGACAAAGGUUUUCUCCUGUUCUGUAGAUUCCCUUGACCUUGAUGAUUGUUUUCUUUGCUAUACAGCAGCUUUUUUUUUUAUACAGCAGCUUUUUAAUUUAAGCAGUCCCACUUGUCAAUUCUCACUAUCAUUUCCUGAUCUAUUGGAGUCCUAUUCAGAUAGUUACUGCCUGUUUUAUAUUGUAUUUUCCUGUAAUACAUUCAAAGAUUCAGGUCUUAACAUUUAAGGCCUGUGGUUAAUUUUGAGCUGAUUUUUCUUUGGAGCAAGUUUUUCUCCACAUGUGCACCUUGGCACUCAGACACAAAUAAAUAAACAUAAGAGAAAAAACUUUUAAUAGAUUUUAAAUAAAUUAAUAUUUAUAUAGAAUAGUGUUGUCUUAAAGUUUAUAAAUGUGAGAAGCCAUUUUAAUGGACAACCUGAAGCAACUAGGUGAUACAUUUUGAGUCUGUGUAUAUGCGUAUACACACUCAUAUAUAGUUUUAUUUUGAUUUGCCUUUUUGACACAGGAUCUGGCCAUGGAGCUCAUACUGGACUCAUACUUGGCAGUCAUCUCACCUAUCCUUCCAAAUGCCAAGAUAGACAUAUUUAUAUACCAAUAGGCUUAACCCAAAGCAUGUGUUUUCUUCUUACUGGCAGACUACUAACGUUUGAAUCACAAGCUAACGAUUCAAGAUACUUCGGUGCCCUUCUAUUUACAGCACUGUCUAUGCUAGGAGAAAAAUAGGAUGGAUGUCAGAAAGUGUGUUUUGUUGAGAGGUUAUUUCAGUGUCUUGAAUACAAGACCAGGCCAAUAACCUUCAUCUCCAGAUACUCUUUCAGUUCAAAGCAGAAGCCCUGUGUAACACGCAAGCUAGCACUUACAGAAAUGCUUAAAGACCUGUUGUGGUUUGAAUAGUUAUGGCCCCCAUAGAUUCAUGUGUUUGAAUGCUUGACCAUAGGAAAUGGCACUAUCAGGAGAUAUAGCCUUAUUGGAAGAGGUGUGGCCUUAAUAGAGGAAUUAUGUCACUGUGGAGGCAAGGCUUUGAGGUUUUAAAUGCUCACACUACACCCGGUGUGAAACAUAUCUAGUCUCCUCCUUGCUGCCCUGCAGAUCAAGAUGUAGAACUCUCAGCUCCUUCUCUAGCAUCAUGUCUGCCUGCACGCUGCCAAGCUUCCCGCCAUAAUGAAAAUGGUCUAAACCUGUGAAACUGAGCCAGCCCCAAUGAAGUGUCUUCCUUUAUAAGAGUUGGUCACAGUGUCUAUUCACAGCAAUGGAAACCCUAAGACACCUGUAUAAUUAAAUUUUGUGUAACCUACAUUCAGUGAAACCAAUGAGAGUUAAACUUUCUGUAGUGACUUAAGCUAAGCCUCUGGAAACAUAGACUGUGGCUUAUGUAAGAGGCACUGACCAGCUUGACUUGUACUAGUGAUUCACAUUUGCAUGCCAAUAUGUUGGCAGAAAGCCCUUUAAAAUAAUAAGAAGCUGCAUUACAGUUCUCUAGAAUAACAGAACGUAUAACAUUAAACACUUUAUAUAUAAAAGGGGACUUACUAGAGUGACUUACAGGUUCUGGUCCAGCUAAUCCAACAAUGGCUGGCUAUGAACAGAAAGUCCAGGAAUCCAGUAGUCGUUCAGUUUCCAAGCCUGGAUGUCUCAGCUGGUCUAUACACUGGAAUCCCAAGGAAGUUGACUCUUCUGCCAAUGAAGGAAUGUUAUUGAGGUGAGAGCAAAUGCUUCCUUCUUCCAUAUGCUUAUAUAGGCUUCCAGGGGAAGGUGUGGCCCAGAUGAGAGGUGGAUUUUCCCAGCUACAAAGAUGUGGACUAAAGCAUGUCUUCCAGUCUCCAGAUCUGGAUCAGAGACCUGUCUUUCUACCAAGGAUCCAGAUUAGAAGUGAAAUCUCCCCACUUCAAAUUAAACGAAAUCCCUCACAGGUGUGUGUAGGUUGAUGUCACUAUGCAGGUGAAAGCAGGUCCAGGAUAGGACGAGGCCUGUCAUUGGAUGAGAAAGAUGGAUGGGCGGGAGAGAAGUUUUAGGAGGAGACUGGAGCGAGGGGGAGCAGCUGAGAGAACAUGGAGGCAGAUGUUAAGAUUUCUCUCUGCACAUUUACAGGUUGAUAUGACUAUUCUUAAGGGACGGAUGUGUGGAGGAUUUUGUGCUGAUUAGAUGGGCAGUUAUGUCUUAUCAAUUGGAUUACAGGUUAUUGUGUUGUAUGUUCUUUCAUGUGGUGAGUUAAUUGAGUUCAAGAGAGUGUGUGGUGGCGGGACACGCUGAGUCUGCCAUGGGACUGGAAUGUGUAUGUCUGGCAUGGUGGCAACCAACCUUGGGAACUACACAGGUAGAGAGAUUGCCACCGGGCUCAGAGAGUUGCCAUCAGCAGUGUGAUAUGGGGUGGAGGAGCUUAGCGGGUGAGAUGCUUGUUGGCUGAGAUGGAAAUAUCCCACAGAUGCCAUGUGGCCCUACAGUGCCAGCACUAGUGCAGGAUAAAAGAAACCUUUUUUUUUUUAAAUUUAAAUUUAAAGUUUUACCACAACAGGUGUGUGAUUUCAGUUUUGGGUUUUAGUAAGUUCCAGAUGUAUUCAAGUUGACAAUCACGAAUAACCGAUAAAGGAACCCAAGACCAAAACACCCAAGGUUUAGCGCGUCGUUACUCCAUAUAUCCCGCAACACAAAUAUCAAGGGAAAAACAAAAGCUGUAGAAUAUGCUAAACUUUUGGCCAAAAGAAUGAAAGGAGACAAAAAUACCACGAACAGAUUGCCACGAGACACAGGCUCUUCUCGGAGAGGGCUUUUACUUCUUAGUCUGAACCCUGUCAAAAAGAAGUCUUCAAGUGAUCAGACCUUUAAAAAAGAGAGAGGGAGAGGGAGGAAGGAAGGAAGAAAGGAAAGGAAAACACCACCACCAAAACCAAAAAACAAAACAACAACAACAAUGCAGGCUCAGUAGUAUCCACUAAAUGUUACAAAUAUGAUAAGCAGAAAUACAUCAGGGGCAGAGGAGAAAGUACUGGCUAAUUAUGUGCCUUAUCAAAUUAUAGCCACCAGUCACAGGAAAACUAGAAAGGGAAGAAAAAAAUAAGAUAGAAAGCAUGUAUAAAGUUUUCACUAAUUAUCUAAUAUUUUAAGUUGAAAGUAGUUUAAGCUAUAACACUUGUAGAGCAAACACUAGCCACAUUAAAUAUUGUACUAAGGCUCAGUGGUUCCAAGCACUGACUGCUCUUCCAGAGGUCCUGAGUUCAAUUCCCUAGUUACCACAUGGUGGCUCCCAGCCAUCUGUAAUGGGAUCCGAUGCCCUCUUCUGGCCUGCAGGCAUACAUGCAGGCCAAAUGCUUUAUACAUAAUGAAUAAAUAAUCUUUUUAAAAAUUGUACUAAAAUUUUAUUGCAUAAAUUUGAAUAAAUUGAUAGUAGAAAAUGUUCAUGUAAUUUUAAUUGAAACGUGUUCUUACACGACUUGUACACAGACACAAGCAAUUACAGACGGCUCUCCUCCUCAACCUCUCACAUCUUUCUACCAUCCCUGUCCAUCCCCUUGCUCUCCACAAAUCUCUAACAGUCAUGCCGGUACAUCUUGUUUUGUUGCCCAUUGGCUUUAACCGGGGCUUUGUCCGUGACCAGGGAUCUGGAGCUGUGGGUUGGAGCCUGGUAGGCUCAGCAGUGGGCACACAACUGAGAGCAGGAACCCUCCUUUCCCAGGCUCUAUCACUAGCCAGUAGUUCAGUAAAGAGUAGGGCCCAUGAGCGCCUCCCCAUUUUAGGACUAAUCGUACGCAGUGGUAGUCCUGUAAGUAACCACUCUAGUUGAGGGUUAAUGAUUGUAGUGGUUGUAUCAACUGGAGUAUGGAUUUUCACUGGCCUUCAUCCUGCUUCUCUCUUUUUUUUUUCUUUAUGGAAAAUUUAUUGCAACUCUCCGACUGCACAUUACUUUUUCCUCUCAAAGUCUUGCUCUGCAGCUUCUUUCGCCCUUUUGGCUCGAAUUCGGAAGAGCCGGGCAUUGGCUCGGGCCAUGCAAAGGCUGACGAAAGCCUUAAGGUUCUUCUCGUCUUCUGUGAUGGCUCUGGCCUUUUCCUUUUUGUACACAUUCCGGGUGGGUAUCACCAUGGCUCCCUCCUGUACAGGAUUACGGCCGAGCCGUACUUCUAGCUCUUGUAUCUCACCCCUUCUGCAAGGUUACCUGAGCCUUAGAGUGGGUGACCUAAAUAUCUUGCUUAGGGCUAAGUCCACACCUGUGACUUAUUCUCAGCAUUUCGGGAAGCCAUGAGUCUCUUGCAUCGUUGUCUGUGUUCAUUGUCAUUCAUUGUGAGGAGAGGGUUCUCUGAAUAAGGCUUCGAGUAGCUUUUGUCUAUAGGGAUGAACAGAUAUUCAGAAGGUAGUCUAAUGCUAGUCAGUUCCUUAAUGACAACAAUAAGUUCCUCCUCUGGGCCUGUGACUCCACAAGCCUGAAUCAUUAACUGGGGUUUGUCAUGCUAGGCAUGGGUUAUUCCCUUCUGUGGAUCAAUCCUCAAAUACAGCCAGAGGGCAGUUGGUUAGUCCAACAGCAGUCAUGCCACUAUUGCACAGGUAGGUAAAGCCUGGCAGGGUGUCUUAGUUCGUACGUUUCCCAGUCGUGCCCUUACCCGCAGCAGCCAGCAGAGCUCCCACCUGGCACUUCGAAAGCUAGCCAACAGGAACGAGGUUUCCAAUUCAGUUCCGUACUGCCUUUUUUUUUUUUUUUUUCGUCUGUACCUUGCAACCAAGGUGGGCAGUGUCUUCCGUAAUCUGAUCUCGUGGGCAACCAAGAGGACUGACAUUGUAUUGUGACCCUCUUCAGUGUCUCUCUGUGUGUGUCUUUAAUUUGGGUUAUAUGACAGUGGUCUUCUAUGCGGCUUCCCUAUAUUCCUUUGUUGAUCCUCCCUACAUCAUCUCUGUAAUCUGCCCCUGAUCUCCCCCACUGCUUAGACCUUCCACCCAUAGUGUCCUGUCUUACUGUCCUUUUAGGCUCCUCCCUUAAGAUGCCUCCCUCCAGGUGUCCCUCACAGCCAGAAGCCACUCAGCCCACAGUUUGAAGGGUCAAGAGUUGAUAAAGCACCUGAAACAGGGAAGCAAAGACGAGAAAGUGGUUGUAAAGAAAUUUUCUCAGAGCCUUUCUCCUCAGACCUUCCACUUUCCCACUAAUCUCCAGCUGAGUCACCUGUUUUAGUUGUCAGCUGACACAAGAGCCAGGAAAGCUCAUCAGGGGAAGCCAGGUACCUUGUAUUGCUAGAAUAGAGGUGGGGCAGAGACUGCUGUGUUUACAGUGAACCUGCUGCUACAGAACUGGCUGCUUAUCUACUCAUGAACAUGUAGGGAGCGAUAAGUGCCUGUGCCAUACGGUGUGCUAAUGGCAAUGACCUUAGUCCACUUGGUGUUAUCACAAAAUAAAAUAGAUUGGGUGGAUUACAGACUUAAGUUUAUUUCUUGAAGUUCUAAAGGAUGAAGAUCCCAAGGUCCGGUGUCUGGUUAGAGCUUAUUUUCUCGGCUCAUAAAUGGGGGUGCGAUAAUUGUCUUCACUGUUGUAAAAGGAAAGGCAUCUUUCUGGUGUCUCUGGAAUUUUAUCGUAACUCCAUCACCUCCCCUGAUCUCUCCCUCCUAAUACUGGCAUAAUGUUUUGACAUAUGAAUUUAGGGAAGUCAUAAGCAUUCGGACCACAGCAAAUGUUGUUUCUGGAUAAAAUGAAUUGAGGUGAUUGGUAGCAUGCUUUGUUUUAGAGCUGGGAUCUCGAAUAGUCAGGCUAGCCCUCAUCGGAUUUGCUUUGUGGCCGAGGUUGACUUUGAUGAUCUUCCUCCACCUCUGGGUGCCGAGAUUACAUGCAUACGACACCACACUCGCCCUCUGCACUGUGAUUCUUAGAAGAGUAUCCGUGCAUUAUUCUGUACUAUUCGAAUGCUGUGGGGUUGGUUUUGGGGGGUAGGGUUUCUCUGUGUAGCCCUAGCUGUCCUGGAAAGUCACUGUGUAAACCAAGCUGGCCUCAAGCUCUAGAGAUGUGCCCGGCGCCCAGCAUUCAUAUUUUUAAACUUUUCAUUCAUGUAUUUGAAUGAGAUGGACUUAAUUGACUUAAGUUUUUUUUUAAAAAAUGUAAAAUUUAAGCGGAGCUCUAGAAUUAAGAACACAUGUGAUGUAAAUCAGUCUAACGUACUCUACUCAGGUGGACGUAAAUUAAAUCUGACACUAAGUAGCCAUGCCUGGGGCUUUAUAAUGUCCUUUCCUCUGUUUCACUGGUGGAUACUUCUCUGUGAAACUCUAAGUGAUCAUCUAGUUGCACUGUCAUUAUCAUACCUUUUUUUAAAAAAAAAGAAAUCUGGUUUUAUAGAAGAAAAGGGAUUGGGAGACUUUUUUUUAAAUUAAUGAAAUUCAAGAGAUUUAGAACUAAAUGCAGUCCUUGAAGCUCUAGUCUCCAGAUGCCAUAGGAAACGGGCAUGAAGACAUUAGAGACAUUUUAAAUACAUACAUGCUAGAAAAUAGCAGAACUGCAUUGUUUUCUUAGGUAGUGAUGGUGCAUGAGUUGUUAGGAGGGGCACACUGAUGUAGUUAGGAUAGAGCAUAAAACAGCAGCUACCCACACCAUCAGCAAGGUACAGGUAAGGCAGGCAUGGCCGUGUGUUCAUGGUGGCCGUACUAAUGUUCUUUCAAGUUUUUUUUUUUUUUGGUGUCUAAACUACUGUGUAAUUAACCAUCCUCAUGUUAAAGACUGAACUCUUAUGGUUUUCCCAAAUCUGAAUGUUGACCUCUUCACCCCCAGUUUUAAAAAAGUUAUUUAUUAUUACACGUGUGCCACAGGUCAUGUGUGGAAGUCAGAAAACUCCAAUUUGUGGAGUAAGUUGGUUCUCUUUCUAUCCUCAUGUGACCUCUAAGAAUCAAACUCAGGUCUCCAGGGCCGAAAGGCAAGUAAGAGCCUUUACCCACUAAGCCAUCUGCCAUCCCCAACCUCCAGUUUUAUGGUAUUACGCUAGGACCAUCAGUGGGUUAUUAGCAUUAGACGAGGGCAUGUAGGUGGAGAAUCAAACUGCUUCCUUGGAAACCUGUUGGCGUUUGAGCCUCAUCUCCAGGGCACUAAAGCACACCGCCAUCUGCUUGCCUCCCAUAUGCAGACACAGAACGCUGGCUUCUUCAAUCACACAGGUGACCUGAUGUUCUAGAACUGUGGUUACAGGGUAGAGCACACCGAGAGUUUGGCUCUGCACUGCCUCUCUGGCUGAGCUUAGAAACUUCCCAAACUUCUCCUUGUCUUAGCCUCUUUGCCUUUCAAAUAGGGAUGCUUGCCCUAGUCUGCAGUGGGCUUUAGGAAAUGAAAUUGAGCAGUGGCAUUAACUAGCCUCAAAACCAGCCAUCCUCCCAUCACUUCCUUCCUUAGGUAAGUAAAAAAUGCUAAACUCAAACCUGUUCAAGGAGAUAAUAUCCACUAGGUGGCACCAGCCACAGGUAAAUAAACUAUCCCAAGAAUCCACAGUCAAAAAGUUGGAAAGUAUAAGGAAACAAAGCUGUAGUAGUAAUAAUCAAUGUUCGUAUCUAUAAGUUUUCUGUAACCCUCAUCUAAGUGUGUAACACAAAGCAGCAGAGCAUCAGACAGUAAACCUUUAGUUCAGAUUUGUGAUUCCAAGACCCCUCUGGAUACAGCUCUGCUUACAGAUAACUCGAGCUUUUGUUCUGCAGAAACCUUUUUGGCUUCUGUUUUUUGUUUUUUGUUUGGUGAUUAUUUUGCUAAAAGGGUGUGAUUCGGAGAAGUAUCCUCUUGUGAAACCAGUGAUUGGGUAUAACCAUUGUCUUUACAGAUUUUUCCUUUACUCAGCCUGUAAUUCACUGAGUAAUUACUGAGUAUUUGCUGUGUGUUUGACACUGUUGUAGGCGCUGUGGUAGAUAUGAUGCUGCUCCGGAUGGCUUAGACAGGUUGUCAUAACAGAAUUAUCAGACCGACAACCAGGACAAGUGAUUGGGGAGAAUUCAUAAAAGCACCCCCUCUCACUGUGCUGCUUGUAUCCCAGUCAGAACCUUGCCAGCUUUUCCCAAAUGCUGUUUUUAUCAUGGUGUCCACAGUCCUUCUUCCAAGGAAUUGCUGAAAUGGCGACCCCUCCCCCUUGGGAGAAAACAACCACCCACUCAUUCCCUGUGCUCCCAACUUUCACCCUCCAACCACAAUUAAGCUUUAUGGCCUCUUUGAACUUGCUUUUAUCUAUUUUGGUUUGCUUUUGAGAAAGGAUCUCAUUGUGUAGCGCACGUUGACCUCAAACUCAUGGUUUUCCUGCCUUCUUCACCUGCCUCAUUUUGGGAUCACGGGUGUACAGUGUCACAUCUAGCUUGGAACUUGCUUUCUGGUGGGGUAAAACUGACAGUAUACACACAACAGCUAAACAAUAAUUUCAGACAGGUUCAAUGUUCCGAAGUGCUUAGAGCAGGUCAUGUAGCAGAAAGCACAAACCAUGCUUAGAGCAGGGCAUGUGGCAGAAAGCACCCAUGGCACGGGAUGGGGAGUGCAUAUGUAAUGCUCUGGGCAGAGGGUAUCUCGUUGGGAAGAUGAGACCUGGGAAAUAAGAAAUUCAUAGUCUUUGCUUAAAAACUUGAGGAAGUUAAUGAGGAAAGAGCUACAUGCAAAGGUGCUAACAGAUGUGAGCUGACAAAAGAAUUGAGUGAUGCCAGAGGACUUAGAAUCUUGCGAUUUGCUGAAGUUAGAUGGGGAAAUAUCUUACAGGAGGAGAGGUACUUAAGUACUAACAGAUUUGAUUCAGUACAGAAAGAUGAACUGAACGGGAAAGGAGUGAAACCUCUUAAAUAGAGAGGUUUCCUUUGAUGGGAGCUGAAACACCUACCUUAGAGUUCUUUUCCCUUCGAUUUAAUAAUUUUCUCUCGAUUUCCUCAUUCUGUCUGAUGACUCCUUCUCUCCUUUCCACACCACCCUUUAGUUAAGCUUGUGUGCAGGGCUCUGUACAGGGCACUCUUCUCACUGUCUACUAAAUGUAGAUUGCUGUAGCAAUCUUACUCAGCCUAUAGCCCCAGACCUCACACCUCCUCUCCAACUCUACAUAUUUUUCAAUCUCCCAAAUUCAUAUCUCCCCCGGCCAUUUAAUUUAGCUUGUUGUGAUAAAGGUAUGGCCCCCAUAACCUCAUGUGUUUGAAUACUUGGUCCUUAGGGAGUGGCACUGUUUAGGUGGUGUGGCCUUAUUGAAGGAAGUAUGUCACCGUAGAGGCAGGCUUUGAGGUCUCCUAUGCUUAAGCUAUGCCCAUUGUGGCUCACUGUCUCUUCCUCCUUCCUGUGGAUCCAGAUGUGGAACUCUCGGCUCCUUCUCCAGCACCACAUCUGCCUGCAUGCUGUCAUGCUUCCCACCAUGAUGACAAUGGAUUGAACCUCUGAACUUGCUGGAGAUUGAACCCAUGUAUAUGCAAAGCAUUAUUGACUACCGAGCUAAGCACCAGCCUAUCUAGAGAGGACUGUGAAUGUUUUCAACACAAAGAAACAAUGAGAUUAAAACCCAAGCUCCUUAAUGCAGUAUCCGAGGCCCUUCAUUAUCUGGCUCCUGUCCACCUUCCAGCCUUUCUCACCACUUCCUUCCCUGACUCAGCCGAGAGCUUACAGACAAAGGCCAUGGACUAAUAGAAGUCUUGACUGUGCUCAGACCUUCCCUACCCCACGAGAAAUGUGGGAGUGCCACAUGCUACCAGAGGUGGUGAGAUCCAUUCCAGGGUUCAUAGUCGUGUAAAUAUAAGAAUGCAAGAACUGACUCAGAAGAAAGCCUGAGGAGAGUUUUAUUAGAGUUUAAAAGAAAAACCUGGAGGCUGACAAGCAUCAGUUUCAGCUGUCUAGAGGAGGAACAUGAAGAGAAAGAGAAAACUAUGCAAUUUGAAUUAGCAAUGAAAUUAUUAGUAAUGAAUCUGUAAUGGAGGUCAAGCCACAUGGCAGUCAGAAGACACCUGACAAAAGACGGUGGGAAGCUUCAGAGACAAAGUAAGGAAGCCUCCAGUGUCAUGCUUAGGAAAAGAAAAAAAGAAAAACUACAGGUCUCAGAGUAAGUGCUUAGAAAAGCAGAUAUGCUUAACAGGGCCAUGGCUCCAUAGGCAAUAUACCAGGUACAGGAUUUCUGAGAAUGGAAAGUAAUUAUCUCAAACCUAGCAAACAAAAGCACCUAUCUCAUUAAAAGGAUGAUUAUUCUUCCCAUCACUUAAGCUUUCAAAUUAGGUGAAUCGAUCUCCCCAAGGAAUGGUCCCUUAAUCCAGUGGUUGACUAAUCCAACUGGAUUAACCUUUAUAUUUGGGGUAGCUGGGGAUGUGUGGAGCACCCCACACACAACUCCAGGUAACCUUUCAUGAUUUAUACCCCUAACAUCUCACAUAAUCAGGGCUACUUGCAGUUAAGUGCAGAAUUCAGAGAGGAUCAGGAGGAAGUGAACAAAAUCCCAGGUGAGGGUUCAGUAAUCUUCCCUAUGCCUUUCUAUGUGGAAGGAUCAACAGCCAACCCCUAGGUCGGUUACCAGUGGUCAAGCUGUUCUGACAAAGUCUGCUGUUGUCGUGAAGACACUGUUCAACAGUAAAGGUCAGCCUCCCUGGUCACCUGCAACAAAGGCCAGCCUCCCUGGUCACCUGCAACAAAGGCCAGCCUCCCUGGUCACCUGCAACAAAGGCCAGCCUCCCUGGUCACCUGCAACAAAGGCCACCCUCCCUGGUCACCUGCAACAAAGGCCAGCCUCUCUGGUCACCUGCAACAAAGGCCAGCCUCCCUGGUCACCUGCAACAAAGGCCAGCCUCCCUGGUCACCUGCAACAAAGGCCAUCCUCACUGGUUACCUGCAACAAAGGCCAGCCUCCCUGGUCACCUGCAACAAAGGCCAGCCUCCCUGGUCACCUGCAGCAAAGGCCAGCCUCCCUGGUCACCUGCAACAAAGGCCACCCUCACUGGUCACCUGCAACAAAGGCCAGCCUCCCUGGUCACCUGCAACAAAGGUCACCCUCCCUAGUCAGGCUGGUUGGCUAACGGCUUCAUGAUAUUCUUUCACAUCUAAAGAGCCUUUUAUAUGUCCUGCUGUGUAGUCUAGAGCUCCUUGUGCAUGAGAUGAUACAGGUAGAAAUGAAGCUGCAGAAGAAAGGUAUUUUCUCCUUGGAGACUCCCUGGAAGUCAAUGCAAACAAGACUAAGUGUUGAACUUACCAUGGUGACCGAAGUUUAAUAUCAGGUGUGACCUUUCCACUCCCAAAGUCCUUAUUCAGCCAGAAGUCUGAGGGUGAUGUACUGCAGCAAGGUUUACCUGACUCUAGAGUAUCUUUACAAAGGGACUGUUUUGGUCUCCUUUCUGAUGCUAUGAUAAACCUGAAUAAAAUACCUCGAGGAGAAAAGGGAUUACUUGGUUUAUACUUCAGUUAACAGUCUAUCAUCCAGGGCAGGAGCUCAGGGACUCUGGAGGCAUGAACUGAAACAGUGGCCAUGAAGGAAUGUUGCUGAUUUGUUUCCAGGCUACCCUUCUUAUACCUCCAAGGAGCACCUGCCUAGGAAUGUCACCACCCAUGGUGGGCUAGGCCUUCCCAUAUCAAUCAAUAAUUUAAAAAAGACAGCCCAUAGGCAUACCAAUAACCCAUCUGGUGGAGGUAUUUCCUCAAUUGAGUUUCCCUCUCAAUUCCUUCUGGGUGACUCUAGUUUGUGUCAAGUUGACAAAAGCCAGUCACUAAGGGACUGAUCCUCAGAAGGAGACUUGUGCUGAUGGGAUAAUUAAAACUUGAUUUGGGUGGUGUUUAUAUGAAUCUGUACAUGAGAUAUAGUUGUGUAGAGCUGUAUGUACACAUGAACAUGUAAUUGCAUCUGUGAUGAAAUGUGAAUGAGCCUGGUACUCUGUAUUAACACCAAGGUACUGUAGUUACGAAGGUGCUCAUGUGUGGGGAGACUGGAUGAUGGGUGCUUGAGAAUCUUACUAUUUCUUCACAAAUUCCUGUGAAAGUAUGAUCAUUUCAAUAUGAAUGUUUAAAGUGAAGGCAGAGGAAGCUCAAAGUAUCAGAACUCUUAGUCUCCAACAAUACACUGUGACCGACUUUAAGCUACAAGAUCUUAUACAGAAACAGUGAGGUCAACAGUACUCUUGAAGAGAAGGAUGAAGCAGAUUACCUCAGUUGCUACAGAGGCUGAGGUUCUCAGUCACUACAACGGGAGGAAUGCUCUCUUAGCAUCAAAGUCCGUGUCCAGUCCUUUUCUUGAAAACCAGGUAGCCAAGCAGUUGAGUUACGGUAAAACUUAGCUAUAGUUCUUAAAGUUCAGAAAACACUGACUUAGAACACUGCCAUUCCUCACCCACGUUAACCUCAGCCAGUGUCACUAACUGCCACUUACUGCUGUUAUUUCAAUAUGUAGUGGAUAUUUAAUGUGCAUCAAUUCAUGCUUCUGGGUGCUUGAACUGUGUCCAGAAACAAAAUAAAGGACACUGUCAUGUGGUGGGCUUCAUACAUAGUAUGGGAAAGAGGCAGAAGGAGAAUAUGAAUUAUAUUUCAUACCAGUAAGAAGACAUGGGGCUAAGGAAGGAGUUCCAAGAACUCAGGAGAUGUCACUGUGUGGAACAAGACUCUUGCUUGUAUCUGUGAGCUUGAUGUCACAUUACCCCAGCAUUUCUUUCUGUGUCCUCAUCACUGUCUUCUUCUGUCUGCCCUUUAGCUUCUCCCUUUGUGUAUGCCUCUUGGCUCUCUAUCACAUCUCUUCAUCAGUGCCACUCUCUCUGUCACUUUCUAACCAUCUCUUUGUUUCCACUGACUUUCUCCCCUAACUAUAGCUCUUUCUGCCUCUCCCAUUCUUUCUAGACACAUCAUUAUCCUUAUGCAGUGCGCCGGUAUAAUUAAACUAAAAGUACCUGAGAUUCUAGUAUUCAUAUAUUUUUUGUAUAAGCGUGUCCUGGUCUACCUGAAACUUGCCUGACACAGAUGCAGAAUAAUUUUAAUUUUAUUAACUGUCGUCUUGGAGACCUAAAUCCCCAAUAGAACAUCCCAUAUUUCUGAAACAUGGACAUAAGAAUGUCCAUAGUACAGCACUCUUCAUGAAAACUAAGCCACAAACAACACAGGUAAUCAAGACCCGUGGAGUGGCUUAAUAGCUGAAGAGUAGAGCACUACACAGCAGGAGAGCCAGUGAAAGGCGGGCGAUGCAGACACAGAUGAAUCCUCGGGUCUCCAACAACCAAGACAGUACAAAAGGUAAAGGGAAGAUGAGAUAUUUAUGUAUAUUUAUUGCAGUCCAAAUAGAACAGGUUUUAGCAUGUAUGGUGAUACAUAACCAUAAUCUCAGCACCCAAGAGAGUGAGAUGGGAGAAUCUCUAA